CAGCAGCCACGGUAAUACGAAGGGGGCUAGCGUUGUUCGGAAUUACUGGGCGUAAAGGGCGCGUAGGCGGCCAUUCAAGUUAGAUGUGAAAGCCCUGGGCUCAACCUAGGAAUUGCAUUUGAUACUGUUUGGCUUGAGUUCGGGAGAGGUGAGUGGAAUUCCCAGUGUAGAGGUGAAAUUCGUAGAUAUUGGGAAGAACACCAGUGGUGAAGGCGGCUCACUGGACCGACACUGACACUGAGAGACGAAAGCUAGGGGAGAAAAUGGGAUUAGAUACCCCUGUAGUCCCUGUCUCUUAUAC
rnacentral:rRNA from 1 species